rnacentral:tRNA from 1 species
UGCUUCUCCCGUCUGGGGGAAAAAACGGGAGAA